GUUGAACGUGAAGGAUAACGUUGCGUCAGCAACGGCCCGUAGGGCGAGGCGAAGCCGAGUCAUCCUGCACGACCCACCA
rnacentral:sRNA from 2 species